CAGUAUCCGCGGUAAUACAGAGGGUGCGAGCGUUAAUCGGAUUUACUGGGCGUAAAGCGUGCGUAGGCGGCUUUUUAAGUCGGAUGUGAAAUCCCUGAGCUUAACUUAGGAAUUGCAUUCGAUACUGGGAAGCUAGAGUAUGGGAGAGGAUGGUAGAAUUCCAGGUGUAGCGGUGAAAUGCGUAGAGAUCUGGAGGAAUACCGAUGGCGAAGGCAGCCAUCUGGCCUAAUACUGACGCUGAGGUACGAAAGCAUGGGGAGCAAACAGGAUUAGAUACCCGGGUAGUCCCUGUCUCUUAUAC
rnacentral:rRNA from 1 species